rnacentral:rRNA from 1 species
AUGGGGGAACCCUGAUCCAGCCAUGCCGCGUGUGUGAAGAAGGCCUUUUGGUUGUAAAGCACUUUAAGCAGUGAAGAAGACUCCAUGGUUAAUACCCAUGGACGAUGACAUUAGCUGCAGAAUAAGCACCGGCUAACUCUGUGCCAGCAGCCGCGGUAAUACAGAGGGUGCAAGCGUUAAUCGGAAUUACUGGGCGUAAAGGGAGCGUAGGUGGCUCUAUAAGUCAGAUGUGAAAUCCCCGGGCUUAACCUGGGAACUGCAUCUGAAACUGUAGAGCUAGAGUAUGUGAGAGGAAGGUAGAAUUCCAGGUGUAGCGGUGAAAUGCGUAGAGAUCUGGAGGAAUACCGAUGGCGAAGGCAGCCUUCUGGCAUAAUACUGACACUGAGGCUCGAAAGCGUGGGUAGCAAACAGGAUUAGAUACCCUGGUAGUCCACGCCGUAAACGAUGUCUACUAGUCGUUGGGUCCCUUGAGGACUUAGUGACGCAGCUAACGCAAUAAGUAGACCGCCUGGGGAGUACGGCCGCAAGGUUAAAACUCAAAUGAAUUGACGGGGGCCCGCACAAGCGGUGGAGCAUGUGGUUUAAUUCGAUGCAACGCGAAGAACCUUACCUGGUCUUGACAUAUCUAGAAUCCUGCAGAGAUGCGGGAGUGCCUUCGGGAAUUAGAAUACAGGUGCUGCAUGGCUGUCGUCAGCUCGUGUCGUGAGAUGUUGGGUUAAGUCCCGCAACGAGCGCAACCCUUGUCCUUAGUUACCAGCGGGUUAAGCCGGGAACUCUAAGGAUACUGCCAGUGACAAACUGGAGGAAGGCGGGGACGACGUCAAGUCAUCAUGGCCCUUA